UACGAAGGGGGCUAGCGUUGCUCGGAAUCACUGGGCGUAAAGGGUGCGUAGGCGGGUCUUUAAGUCAGGGGUGAAAUCCUGGAGCUCAACUCCAGAACUGCCUUUGAUACUGAGGAUCUUGAGUUCGGGAGAGGUGAGUGGAACUGCGAGUGUAGAGGUGAAAUUCGUAGAUAUUCGGCGGAACACCAGUGGCGAAGGCGGUUCUCUGGGACGGUACUGACGCUGAGACGCGAAAGCGUGGGGAGCGAACAGG
rnacentral:rRNA from 1 species